rnacentral:lncRNA from 1 species
GCUCCUGUCAGCUCUUCAGGAGCUUCUUGGUCAGCGUAAGCUUAAAAUUGAAAAGAAAAUCCUGCUGAGUUUUCUUUAUGAGUGUAACCGUUGUGCCCCGUGGUUUAUAGUGUCAGGGUCGCUCACUUUGAGAGCAUGGGAGAAGCUGGGAAAAGAUCUGGAUAAGGAGACUACAGUGGGCAAGCUUAAACCAGGGACAAGGCCGCUUUGGCGUAUGAUCCGUGCCUGCUUGGAAGAUAAACGAUGUGAAGAAGCUGUUAGGACAGGUCAGAGAAUCCUUACAGAACAACAGGAGAGUAUGUCAGAAGGAGAGAAAGUUUUGAAGGAAGGAAAGAAAGGAAAA